UGAAAAGCCAACCCAAUGUAACACAGCUGAUUCUGAAAAUAGUUGUUGGCCUCUUUUCACUCUUCACAGUAUUGUUGUUCAUCAUCGUCAUCAUUGUCAGUAUCAGGUACCAGAUGCUGAAAAAAAACUCAAGCCAAGGUCACACAUCAACACCUCAAGGCUCUAGAAAAGAAGCCAAAGUCACACAUCAACACCUCAAGACUCUAGAAAAGGAAGCCAAAGUAACACACCAACUCCUCAAGCGAGUAGUAAAAGU